UAGUUCAGGAUAUUGAUACUGCUUUAUCGAGGUGUUCAAAGAUGUCUAAGUUGGAACUUUUAUACUCCAGAGCUUGUGGCUUGCCCAUCUACAUGAAAGAGAGUAGAAAAUUAUAAGGGAGGAUUUCUUUGAUUAAGACAUGGCUGAACAGUGUUAGAAAGUGUAUCUCUGCGAGACAUCCUACUGUCUUAGAGUUUAACAUUCUUUACAAGUUAAAAUCAGAGAUCUUGGAUCUUCAAGUUCAUCUUCCAGAGAUAGAGGUGUUUGAGAAUAUGCUAAAUCGACCUGAAUCUUGUAGCAUCCAAUGUCGUGAGAUGUUAAAAGGU